AUUGAACGCUGGCGGCAUGCCUUACACAUGCAAGUCGAACGGUAACAGGUCUUCGGAUGCUGACGAGUGGCGAACGGGUGAGUAAUACAUCGGAACGUGCCUAGUAGUGGGGGAUAACUACUCGAAAGAGUGGCUAAUACCGCAUGAGAUCUACGGAUGAAAGCAGGGGAUCGCAAGACCUUGUGCUACUAGAGCGGCCGAUGGCAGAUUAGGUAGUUGGUGGGAGAGAAGCUUACCGAGCCGACGAUCUGUAGCUGGUCUGAGAGGACGAUCAGCCACACUGGGACUGAGACACGGCCCAGACUCCGACGGGAGGCAGCAGUGGGGAAUGUUGGACAAUGGGCGCAAGCCUGAUCCAGCAAUGCCGCGUGCAGGAUGAAGGCCAUCGGGUUGUAAACUGCUGUUGUACGGAACGAAAAGCCCCGGGUUAAUACCCUGGGGUCAUGACGGUACCGUAAGAAUAAGCACCGGCUAACUACGUGCCAGCCGCCGCCGUAA
rnacentral:rRNA from 1 species